GAGCAGACCUGCCCCUAAAUGGACACUGCGAGAAGAGCUGUUGAGUGAGAAGGCACUAUUUCUGUACAGUCUAUUUAAAGCAUGGGCCACACCUUAAACAUUCCUUUCCCCCUUACAAUAUGGUUCUUCUGUAGCUGUGCCUUUUGCCAGUAUGUUAAUUGGGUGUUUUCUCCUACACUAACCUUACACUGUAACUCUCAUUUCUUUCCCUCAACAGGAAGCAGUUAUGCAGACAGUCAGAAAUUACAAUUAUCUAACGAUUAGUUUGGCUCAAAAAAUCUGAUGCAGACCGAUAAACUCUACCGCCAGCCACGCUGACUGUCACAGCCCUGCAGGGUUCCCUAAAGGCAGUCAGCUAUUCAAAAUUUAUACACAUACCCUCGCUCCCCAACCACCACAUAUACCCAUCAUCUUAUGAAGUGAACCUGCCACGAUCCAAAAUACAAUCUGUUACACUUCAGAUAACAGUCAGAUGGAGAGAUUCAACAGUUGUUAAAAUGCCUGAUCCUUUGGGGAAUGGAAGGGAAGCUUGUAAGAAAUAUUGUGCUUAGGAAAUAAAAAUGACUUUCCAUGGUAUAUCCCUUUGUACGUGUAUAUCCAGAAGAUUAAAAAUCUAGCAAUGUGUAUGUUACAGAGGAUUUAAACAUACCAUUCAGUACAUUUGAAGGAAAAUAUUUGGAGAACAUUUCUGUAUGUUUUCAUAUAUUUAAACAGCACAAACAAAUGCUGUUACUGCAAGAAACCAGCUAAUUAAAUAUGCCAGAUAGCUGAUUUUACACUAAUUGCUGGAAUAAUUGCUACCAUUGUUCCGAAGCAAAAUUAGAACAUUUUGUGUUUGUAACCAUAUAGCCAACUCAGUAUUUACCAAAUUAACCCUUGUUUUUGGCUCAUCUAUAUUUAAUAAGAAGACUAUUAUAAAGACUAUUAUACUAACCUCUAAAAGAUCAGAUAGCUACGUACUACACCAAGCUAAUUGGCUCACUCAGCCAUAUAGGAAAGAUGGUGUGACCUCUAUUAUGCUAACGUGUUUAUUCAUAAAUAUAAGUUCCGUUUUGUUCUAAUCGCACUCCGUUGUGCCUCACUGUGUUAGCCGGGCUCUUGAAUGACUAUGGACAGGAUACAGGAGAGACAGUGUCUAUCAAUAAGGCAGUGGACUGGGAAGCGAGAGCUAGGUUCUCUUCCUUCCUCCGCACUGACCUGCUGUGCAGUCACGUCACUUCACCCCUUUCCACUCCCACCCUUUGCCCGUUUAAAUUGUAAGCUCCCCAGGGCUUAAUGAGCAUUUUAAUGUCUCUUAAAGAGCAACUGCACAGGGUCUAGUGAAAUGGGUCCCUGAUUUUGGCUGGGGCCUGUGGCAGGGCACCAUAUGCUGUGUGCCCCCUCAUGGAAUGGCUCAGGUCCCUCCCAAUAACUUACUUGUGCCCGAAAGUAUAUUCCUUUUCUAGGGAUCUAAUUAUAAAAAUAGAGUCCCCCUUUGGCCCCUCAGACCCAAACUCUUCCCUCUUGGGGAUUCCAGUUCACUGUUGUUCCAAGGCUUCAGGCGCACAGUACCCAUACAGUUCCUCUGAACAAGGAAGCUCUCCCAGUCCCAGGACAGCCCCUGGCCUCUCUGAAGAGACUUUCUUGCUGGCAUCCUUAUGCCCUGGUCCCUGGGCUCUCAAGUGUAAUUUUUAGAAAUAUAGAAUAUGUACCAGUCAACGUACCUUCUUCUCAACGGAUAGAAGGACACAUGACUAUGUGUGCAAGAUAGAGAUGGAGAGUAGACAGUUGGAUAUUUGGAAAGGACAUCUGAAAAAGCAGCGUACAACCUGUGUACAACUUGUAACAUCAGCAGAUCAAAGGAAAGGAGAAGGCUCCUGAACAGCUGGCUGAGCACCCGGAUUGGCCCUAUUGUGUUAGACACUGUACUCACACAGAAUAAGAGACAGUUCCUGCCCUGAAGAGCUUCUGAUCUCAACAGACAAGAAAGACGAAAGGUGGUAUUAUCCCCAUUUUACACAUGGGAACAGAAACAGACACACAUUAACUGUGUCCACACAUACAAGUGGUGCCCUCUGCACCUGCAGUGAUAAAAAGUGGAAUGAGAAGGCUUGGUUACAAGUAAGGACAGUUUUUGAUUCAGUUCCUGAAGGCUCUGCCUGACGCAAACUCAAUAUCUAGAUGAACUUGGGGCUUUGACAAGAGCUAGCUGGCUGCAACUUGGUACAGCUAAGCCUAAAGAAAUGUUGGUGGGUUGAUGAAGCAUGCACAAGUAUCGAAGUUACGAAAACAAGAACUGCCGUAUUGGGUUAGACCAUGGUCAGCCUUGCCCAAUAUAGCAUCUCCAAAGGUGGUCUAUACCAGAGCUUCAGGAGUGAACAGAACAUGGCAAGUAUGGAGUGAUCCAUCCCUGUCUUCCACUUCUGGCUUCUGAUGGUCAGAGGAUUAGGGUCACCCCGAGAAUGAGGUUGCGUCCCUAACCGUCUUGGCUAAUAGCCAUUGAUAGAGCUAUCCUCCAUGAACUUACCCAGUUCUUUUCUGUACCCGGUUAUGCUUUUGGCCAUCACAACAUCCCACGGCAAUGAGUUCAAUAGGUUAGUUGUAUGUUUUAUGAAAAUGUACCUCCUCUUGUUUGUGUUAAACCUGCUGCCUAUUAAUUUCAUUGGGUGACCCCUGGAAUUUGUAUUGUAUGGAAAGGUAAAUAAUACUUUUCUGUUAAUUUUUUCCACACUGUGCACGAUUUUAUAGACUAUCAUCUAUAUGAUAGAUGUCUUAAGACAUCGAGAUAGACUUAUGUGCAGUGCUGGGGAGGAACUAGUGGUUGUGGUACUUGUAGGUACCAGUGACAUAGGGAAAAGUAGGAGAGAGGUUCUGGAGGCCAAAUUUAGGCUGUUAGGUCAAAGGCUAAAGUUCAGGACAUCCAUGGUAGUAUUCUCUGAAAUGUUUCCAGUUUCCAUGCAGGUCCAGUUAGACAAGGUCUCAGUGUGUGGAUAAGACUAUGAUGUUGGGAAGAGGAAUUUAGGUUUAUUAGGAUCUAGAAAACCUUUUUGGAAAGAAGGAGCCUCUAGAGGAAGGAUGGUCUCCACCUAAACCAAAAAGGAGUCAGAUUGCUGGCAUGUCAAAGUAAAAAGUUCAUGCAGGAGUUUUUAAACUAAGGGCUGGGGGAAUGCCAGCAGGUGCAGAGGAGCACACAGUUGAAACAAAGACAUCCCCUAGGGGAGGAUCUAUUAAAGGGGUUACUCUAUAUCAUAGUAAAGAGGAGAAGAUAGAAGUUGGUGGAGUCUCAAUUACAUCACACAAUGGCAGACAGCUAACUUGACAAAUUUUGUAAGUCCUUAAAUGCUAGAAGUUUAAAUACUAAGAUGAGUGAAUUUGAGUGCCUGGUAUUAAAUGAGGAUAUUGUUAUAACAGGCAUCACAUCUUUCUUGGGUGGUAAUAGCUAGUUUAGAGUUUUUUGUAGGUGUAGAGUUGGGGUAUUUCUCUCCCUCCCCACAGUGUACAUUACUUUUCAGUUCUCAAUAUUGCGCUAUACCGGCACUCCUAAUACAGAGAGUCCAUCUGCUCUUUUAUAAUGCAAAUGCAUAUGUUAGGUAUAUUAAUAGAUCUUGGGUCAUUCCCAGUAGCAGCUGUGUCCAGAAGCACAUUCUUCCACCUCUAGGUGGUGAUAAGAGUAUGACCGUUUAUCUCUGACAUGGAUCUAGCCCCAAUUAUCCACGCCUUUGGCACUCUGAGAUGAGAUUGCUGUGACGUGCUCUACCUUGGCCUACACAUUUGAGACUCCACAGGAAAGAACCUGAAUGCAGACUGCAGAGAUCUGUUUAUCAAGCACCAUUUCACAUGAGAAGCACAUGACCCCUGUGACUUAUGGCCUGCACUGCCAGGAAGUAGGUUUCCAAUGUGUUGGUUUUAGCAUAUGUCUUGGGACCUCAGAAACUGUGUCAAGGUCAUGGCAAGUUUUAAAGGGAGUUGGCUGUUGGCAGGACAUUACCGUUAAAAGGUUCUCAGCUUUGCAAUUACCCCUUCUUCCACCCUUAAUCUGCCAGAGCCUGGAACUGUUACCCUGCGGGGCAUACUAUAAGGGUCAUUUUUCUCCCAAUGGUUUGAGGAGGAUUGGCUGAGAGUGGAUGUGGUAUUUAUGUCAGCUAUCGAGAGCUUUUAUUAGCUGGUGUGUAUUUUGUUCAUUAGUUGGUUUGGCCUGGGAAAAGAGGGUGAAAUAGUGGUCCAUCACAUUAAGAGAUUGUGAAAUUAAAUGAUGUAAGAGCCCCCAGCGCAUGAAAUGGGACACACGUGUGUUUAUAGCUUGAAAGAAAUACUAAUAAAUAUUUGCUCUGAUUAAUAGGUCUAUUCCUCGACUUCCUCUUACAAACAUGCAGUGACCUGUCUUGCCUGACAAACCUUCUCUCGGUCACACACUGUCCAGAAAGAAUAGAGUUCCCCACAUCACAUUAAUUAUCUGCAAAAAAGCGUAUGAGAAAAACCUCAUCCUCCUACUCAUGCUUCUUAUUACCAUGAUUAGGCAGUUUGGUUUCAAGUGUACUGAAUGAUGCUGUGGGCCUGGAAUUCAUUAGUCGACCUGCACUAUGUAUCAUUUUAUAUAAUGCCUUUAGCUAACCCCAGAAUGUCUUACAGGGGUGCUUCCCAAAGGGUGGUCAAUGGAACAUGUGGUCUAUAAAGCAGUUACUAGUGGUCCAAAUGAGUUGUUUGGUCACAACGGGCCAGUUUUUAAAAAGGUUCUUCAUUGCCUAAAGAUGCAGAUAGGUGCCCAGUGGGAUUUACAAAUACCCAUUAACACCUACCUCCUGUUAAAAAUCAAUGAGUUCCAGGAGCACUUGUAGGAGGGGAAGAGGUCUGCACAAUUGUGAAAGAGAAGAUCCAGGAGAUGAUCUCUAUUAAGAUGAGGCCCCAUUCUGUGAAAACAUUUGGGAAUCCCUGCGUUAUUGAAUUAAAAACUCUACAUGUAUAGGGACCCAUUCACUUUACCAACUGUAAAAUACCACUUCUGACGUGAGAAGCAGCUACCAUUAUGAUAGAACCAGCCACACUAAUUCUGGAACAGGAUAUGAACAUUGCCUUAUCCAGUUGAAGCAAGAGGGGAAUUGGGGGGUCAGGAGGCAGAACGCAGUUAAUCAAAAUGGAAGUGGCCCAGGACUUUUACAGAAGGGCAAAGAGCUCUUUAAUGAUCUUGAAGACUCAGCUUCCAUCCCACAGGAUGGCAGAGCCAGCACCACGUUGCCCCCCAGCACCCUACUAGGACAUUACUACACGACUGACUCAGAUGGAAGUGUGCCAGCGAUUGCAAUACCUCUUCUUGCUGCACCUGUUUUCCCCCAUCUGUCUCCUCCAACAGCUCUACUGACCGCAUCUCAACCUGAUUAUACAAGGAUACCUGAUGACAUCACAACCGGAUGCUUGUCAACGCCACAUGCUAUAUUAGUAUCUACGGUCAGAAACGUAUGCGUUAAGAUAAAAAGUGCCAAUAUAUUUCGAAUAUAUUAAGAUUGUCAGAGUGGGGCUGUAAAAUUGCAGAUUAUGGCAGCUGUAAGGGGCUAAUCUUGUUUGCAAUUUAAAUAGACAAGACAGAGAAAAGGUAGGAAGGGAAACAGAGGCACACAAAGAUGAAGUUAUUUGCCCAAAGUCACACAAGUCUGGAGCAGAGCCGGAAAUGGAACCCAGGACUCCUGAGUCGCAGUAGAGUGCCCUACCCACUAGAUAACAUGACUUUUGCUUGAUGUUGCCCUAUGGAAUCUCUGUCCCAUGGGAAAUUCCAACAUUAUGAAAUUGUCUCAUCCCAAACCAGGACAAAAAGUUGAAAUCUUGGAAUUUUUUGCCAAAUGAAAUGUCAUAUUUUAUCUUGAUCUUAUUGAAAAGUUUUGUGUUGAUAGGAUCAAAACAUUUUGUUUCUAGAUGAUUGUUUCACCUGUUUAUUAUAUUAUAGAUUGUAUUACAAUAUAAAUCAAAACAAUGUCAAAAUGAAAUAUUUUGAUAGUUUCCCAUUGACAAGGUGAAUGAAAUUGAUAUUUUCCCAUAGAAUGUUUGAUUUAAUCAAAUCAGCAUUUUCCAGUGGAAAAUUUCUGAUCAGCUCUGCUAGAUAUCCAGACAAUAUAAUUAAAUCCUUUGUGGGAUGGGUUUUGAUACUACCCUUCCCCAGCAUAUUAGUCACCCACCCUCUUUCCUCUCAGACC